rnacentral:lncRNA from 1 species
GUCCAGGGCCACACCCCUUCCUCUUGAGGCUCAAAUUCUCACCGGGCCCUGGGCUGCAGAGCAGAGUGCUGCUUGCAAGGGAUAGAACAAGACUGGCAGUGUUUCUCCGAACUGCUGUAGACCUGGGUAGAAAAGCAUGUUUAGAAACCGGAAGGAAGAGUAACUAUGCUCUCACAAAAUGCGGGCUCCUGGUUGAGGGCGACCUCUGCCCUCUGUUCUGCUCCCAGCAGUGGACUGCGAAAACCCACGCUGCUGGCAGGAGAUGAAAGGGGAUCUUUCAACAUUUCCACCCAUUGUCUGCACUUUCUCCCUGCUUGGUCACCCUCAGAUUUGUUAUGGAAUUGCGUUACUGUGGGGCUUUCCCUGCCCCCAGAAACAACUCUGAGAGAAGAGCCAGCAGCUGAGUAAAUUUGCGUUCCAGAGAGGAGAACACAGAAGCACAUGACGAAGUGAAGCCGGCCUGGGGUGAGCGUGGGGGCUUGGACUCUACCGAGGGGCACUGGGGGGUCCACUAUGGCGCAGGAACCAGAAGACCCGAGCUGAAAUCCUGAUUACUCUGUGACUUUGCAUGACUUUGACCAAGGUACUUACUAUCUGUAACCUUCAGCAAGUUUAUUGAUGCAAAUAGGAAAUUCUGCCUUUUUUGUGUGUGGUCUUGUGAAAAUUAAAAAAAAAAACAACUAAGAGAUAUGAACACGUGUCUUUUCCAUUCUUUCUCUCUCCUGGCACAUCCCUUUCACCUGCCUGUCUCUGACUGGAAGGAAGCUUUAAGAUGGCUGCAUGAAAGACGCAGGAAAACUAAAUUGGAAACUUGGAGCACUUAGCAGCUCCACCUAACCAAUGAGGAAUUGUAGUUCUUAGCACCGAUGUGGCAGAGUUAGUUCAGAAAAUGUGGAGCUAUAGAAGAAACAGAGAGAGGGAGGAAGGAAAGAAGAAAUGAAUGAACUGACUCCACAGUUGCUUGCUAAGUGCCUGAAAUGAGCCCAGCUCUGUUGCGUAAUGAAUAACACAGGCUACACACAUUCAGCUCCAUGCUGCUGGUGCCUUGGCUAAACUCGAGGCCGGAUCCAUCAUCCGUCUGCUUCCUGGACAGCUCCUGAUGUCCCACAGG